rnacentral:rRNA from 1 species
AUUGAACGCUGGCGGCGGGCCUAACACAUGCAAGUCGAGCGGGGUUUUCGGACCUAGCGGCGGACGGGUGAGUAAUGCGUAGGAAGCUACCCGAUAGAGGGGGAUACCAGUUGGAAACGACUGUUAAUACCGCAUAAUGUCUACGGACCAAAGUGUGGGACCUUCGGGCCACAUGCUAUCGGAUGCGCCUACGUGGGAUUAGCUAGUUGGUGAGGUAAUGGCUCACCAAGGCGACGAUCCCUAGCUGGUUUGAGAGGAUGAUUAGCCACACUGGAACUGAGACACGGUCCAGACUCCUACGGGAGGCAGCAGUGGGGAAUAUUGGACAAUGGGCGCAAGUCUGAUCCAGCCAUGCCGCGUGUGUGAAGAAGGCCUUCGGGUUGUAAAGCACUUUCAGUAGGGAGGAAGCGUUGUGUGUUAAUAGUACACAGCGUUGACGUUACCUACAGAAGAAGCACCGGCUAACUCUGUGCCAGCCGCCGCGGUAAAAC